rnacentral:sRNA from 2 species
GGAAAGUGUACCUAGGGUUCCACAACCUAAAGAGGUUGGUUUGGUCCAAGCGGUACAGGCGUCUACAGACGUUACACCGAAAGGGAUAAAAGCCCAGGCGGU